rnacentral:rRNA from 1 species
AUUGAACGCUGGCGGCAUGCUUUACACAUGCAAGUCGAACGGUAACAGGUCUUUCGGGAUGCUGACGAGUGGCGAACGGGUGAGUAAUGUAUCGGAACGUGCCCAGUAGUGGGGGAUAACUACUCGAAAGAGUGGCUAAUACCGCAUGAGAUCUCUGGAUGAAAGCGGGGGACCGUAAGGCCUCGCGCUACUGGAGCGGCCGAUAUCAGAUUAGGUAGUUGGUAGGGUAAGAGCCUACCAAGCCAACGAUCUGUAGCUGGUCUGAGAGGACGACCAGCCACACUGGGACUGAGACACGGCCCAGACUCCUACGGGAGGCAGCAGUGGGGAAUUUUGGACAAUGGGCGCAAGCCUGAUCCAGCAAUGCCGCGUGCAGGCAAGGCCUUCGGGUUGUAAACUGCUUUUGUACGGAACGAAAAGACUUCUGGUUAAUACCUGGGAGUCAUGACGGUACCGUAAGAAUAAGCACCGGCUAACUACGUGCCAGCAGCCGAC